UCCGGGGAUAACAGGCUGAUACCGCCCAAGAGUUCAUAUCGACGGCGGUGUUUGGCACCUCGAUGUCGGCUCAUCACAUCCUGGGGCUGAAGUAGGUCCCAAGGGUAUGGCUGUUCGCCAUUUAAAGUGGUACGCGAGCUGGGUUUAGAACGUCGUGAGACAGUUCGGUCCCUAUCUGCCGUGGGCGCUGGAGAACUGAGGGGGGCUGCUCCUAGUACGAGAGGACCGGAGUGGACGCAUCACUGGUGUUCGGGUUGUCAUGCCAAUGGCACUGCCCGGUAGCUAAAUGCGGAAGAGAUAAGUGCUGAAAGCAUCUAAGCACGAAACUUGCCCCGAGAUGAGUUCUCCCUGACCCUUUAAGGGUCCUGAAGGAACGUUGAAGACGACGACGUUGAUAGGCCGGGUGUGUAAGCGCAGCGAUGCGUUGAGCUAACCGGUACUAAUGAACCGUGAGGCUUAACCUUACAACGCCGAAGCUGUU
rnacentral:rRNA from 1 species